UAGGGAAUCUUCGGCAAUGGACGAAAGUCUGACCGAGCAACGCCGCGUGAGUGAAGAAGGUUUUCGGAUCGUAAAACUCUGUUGUUAGAGAAGAACAAGGACGUUAGUAACUGAACGUCCCCUGACGGUAUCUAACCAGAAAGCCACGGCUAACUACGUUCCAGCAGCCGCGGUAAUACGUAGGUGGCAAGCGUUGUCCGGAUUUAUUGGGCGUAAAGCGAGCGCAGGCGGUUUCUUAAGUCUGAUGUGAAAGCCCCCGGCUCAACCGGGGAGGGUCAUUGGAAACUGGGAGACUUGAGUGCAGAAGAGGAGAGUGGAAUUCCAUGUGUAGCGGUGAAAUGCGUAGAUAUAUGGAGGAACACCAGUGGCGAAGGCGGCUCUCUGGUCUGUAACUGACGCUGAGGCUCGAAAGCGUGGGGAGCAAACAGG
rnacentral:rRNA from 3 species